GGAUUAGAUACCCUGGUAGUCCACGCCGUAAACUAUGCACACAAGAUGUAGUGGGGUUUUACUCCUGCUGUGUCGAAGCUAACGCAAUUAGUGUGCCGCCUGGGGAGUACGGUCGCAAGACUAAAACUCAAAGGAAUUGACGGGGGCCCGCACAAGCGGUGGAUUAUGUGGUUUAAUUCGAAGCAACGCGCAGAACCUUACCUAGGCUUGACAUCCCUUGACAUCCGUAGAAAUACGGCUUUGUAGCAAUACACAAGGAGACAGGUGCUGCAUGGCUGUCGUCAGCUCGUGCCG
rnacentral:rRNA from 1 species